UCAGCACUAAUAUUUCCCCCCACCUUUCUUUUUCCCUCUUCCCUCUUUUUUUUUCUUUUUCCCACUUCUCUUUUCCUGUCCGUGUCCUUCGACCUCCCUCUCUCUCUCUGACCCGCCCUCUCUCCUCUCCUCUCUAUGCGACUCACUUUCUCUCCUCUCUUCAUUUUUCAUCUACACUACUAACUCUUUCACCUGUUCCAUUUCUCUCUCUAUCCCUUUUCAGAUUCAUAUAUACACAUAUAAUCCUGAUAUAUAAAUAUAUAUAUGGAUAGAAGUAACCAGAUGCGCAAGUAGAUUGCCGUAAUGAGGCAGUCUCUCUUUGAUCAGAUGAACAAUUUAUCAAGUUGGAGGAUCUGCAAGAUGAUGCUAAUCCUAAUUUUGUAGAGGAAGUGGCUACCGAGAUUCAUCUAGACUCAUCUAUAACAUGGACCAAGCACUCUACGAAGAAAAAACCAGUUUUGAUUUUAAGUUUAUAGAACAACCCUUUAGGUCCUUGAAGUGGAAAUAUGGCUUCUUUAAUUGAUAUAGCAGUUGGAGCAGCCAUAAAUAUACUCAGUGCAUUUUUUUUCUCCCUGAUAUUCACCAUACUCCGGAUUCAACCGAUCAAUCAUAUGGUCUACUAUCCAAAGUGGUAUCUUAAAGGGUUAAGGAAUAGUCUGCUGCGCGCGGGUGCAUUCAUAAGCAAGUUUGUUAAUUCAUUACUAAAAUAAUCCCCAAGGAAAGGGUAUUUGGUGCUAACUAUUAUAUUAACUUGUUUAUGACAUAGUACACUUACAUAUAUUGCACUUAUGAUAUUGUUGGAUACUUGGCUUUUGAUUUUGUUAUGUAUUAUUUAGAUUCAGGGUAUAUACAUACAUAGAUUCUUUGGUUGGUGGCUUUUGGUACCCUGUAUAUAAUUUUAUAUUUGGUAUUCUAUGGCAUAUUUGUGUUGUGUCUACUUUGUUAGUGCUGAAGACUUUGUUUAUUAUCAUGUUAUGUUAAUCAACUUUAGGGUAUAUUUGUGUUUUGAUGUCAGUGCUUAAUUUUUUUUUAGAUUGGUUGAUUUUAGAAUAUAUUAUGUAUAUAUAUUUUUUGUUGGAUACUUUGCCUUUGAUUUUGUUAUGUUUAUUCAAAUUUAGAGUAUAUAUGUGUACUAUUGUAAUUAAGUUAUUUUUUUGUGAUUCAUUUUUACAUUCAUUGAUUUUGGUAUUAUUAUUGUUGAUUAUAUUUAUGUUAUUCAUUUUUUUUUCAAUGAUAUUAAAAUAAUGAGUAUGUUUAUUAUGUUGAUGAUUAUAGGAGUUAUUGUGUUCUUAUAUUUUUAAAGGCAUACAAAGUGUCAUAAAUGCUCAUAAUAAGUCAUUCUUUUUUCUUUCUGAAAUCCUUAUUAUGAUUAAAUUGGAGAUAUUCAAUUAUUAAAUUGGAAAUUUUGUUAUACUGUAAUUUACAACAUCAUUGGUCUCCCAACCGUCUCAAACCUUGUCGGCAUUCUUACAAGGUCAGCUUUUGUUUAAUAAUCUCUAAGAGGAAUUAAUCAACUAAUUUUACAUAUUUUUAUUGUCAUUCAUUAAUAUAUUAUGGUAAAAUAUACUAUUUAAUUAUAAUUUGAAGUUUUUAAUUCAUUUGUGCAGGGAAUAUCAUAGGAUUGACUAAAGGUGGAUGCCUAGAUUUAUUAGGAAGAAUAUUGAGAAAAGAAACAUGAUUGAGUUUGCAGUGAUUUGGAGAAGAGAAUUAUGUUGUCUUGUUGAGAUUUGUUAUAUUAUUUAUUUUGAAGUUUAUAGAUUUAUAAUAUUAUAACGAAUUUUUAUUGAGAAUUAUUUUGUCUCAUGGUGAUUUGAUGUAUUAUUUACAUUUCAAUUGUAUGAAUAAA